GGUGCGGGCAGCUACACAUGCAGUCGAGCGGCAGCGACAACAUUAGAUCCCUUCGGGUGCAUUUGAUUGGGCGGCGAGCGGCGGACGGGUGAGUAAUGGCUGGGAACCUGCCCUGAUGUGGGGGAUAACAGUUGGAAACGACUGCUAAUACCGCAUAACGUCCAUUCUUUUCGGAGAAGGAACCUCAGACGACGACCUUCGGGCUUCUCCCGUCUGGAAGUACCCAGUUGGGAUUAUCUGGUUGGUGAGGUAAUGGCUCACCAAGGCGACUAUCCCUAACUGGUUUGAGAGGAUGAUCAGCCACACUGGAACUGAUCCUCGGUCCAGACUCCUACGGGAGGCAUGAGUGGGGAAUAUUGCACAGAGGCCGCAAUGCUGAUGCAGCCAUGCCGCGUGUGUGAAUAAGGCCUUCGGGUUGUAAAGCACUUUCAGCAGUGAGGAAGGUUUGCUAGUUAAUACCUGCUCUAUUUGACAUUAGCUGCAUAACAACCAGCCGCUAACUCCGUGCCAACAGCCGCGGUAAUACUUAAGGUGCAAUCCUGAAUCUAAAUUACUGGGCGUAAAUUUGAUGCACGCGAUUUGUUAACCAAGAUGUGAAACCGCCGGGCUCAAUUUGAAAACUGCAUUUUGAACUGUGUAGCUAGAGUCAUGUAUACGGGGGUAGAAUUUCAAGUGUAACGGUGAAAUGCGUAUAGAUCUGACGGAAGACCGCUCGCGAACGCGGACCCCUGCUCAAAUGCUGACGCUCAGAUGCCAAAGCGUGUUAGAGCAAACAGGAAUACAUACCCUGGUAGUCCACCCCCUAGACGACGUCUACCUGGAGGCUGUACUCUUGAACCGUGGGUUUCAGAGCUAACGCCUGAAGUAUACCGCCUGGGGAUUACGGUCGCAAGAUUUAACUCAGAUGCAUUCACGGGGGGCAGCACGAGCUGUAGAUCAUGCGUUUAAUUCAACGCUACGCACACAUGCUUACCUACUCAUGACGUCCAGAUUAUCCUGAACAUUCUCUGCUGCGCAUUCAGGACUCUGAGACUGGCGCCGCUGGCGUUCGUAACGCCGGUUGAG
rnacentral:rRNA from 1 species